AUUGAACGCUGGCGGCAUGCUUUACACAUGCAAGUCGAACGGCAGCGCGGGGCAACCUGGCGGCGAGUGGCGAACGGGUGAGUAAUACAUCGGAACGUACCCAGAAGUGGGGGAUAACGUAGCGAAAGUUACGCUAAUACCGCAUACGUUCUACGGAAGAAAGUGGGGGACCUUCGGGCCUCAUGGUUUUGGAGCGGCCGGUGUCUGAUUAGCUAGUUGGUGAGGUAAAGGCUCACCAAGGCGACGAUCAGUAGCUGGUCUGAGAGGACGACCAGCCACACUGGGACUGAGACACGGCCCAGACUCCUACGGGAGGCAGCAGUGGGGAAUUUUGGACAAUGGGCGCAAGCCUGAUCCAGCAAUGCCGCGUGAGUGAAGAAGGCCUUCGGGUUGUAAAGCUCUUUUGUCAGGGAAGAAACGGCUGGGGUUAAUACCUUCGGCUAAUGACGGUACCUGAAGAAUAAGCACCGGCUAACUACGUGCCAGCAGCCGCCGUAACAC
rnacentral:rRNA from 1 species